ACAGCAGUACCAGAACCUCUGCUGGCUCCCUGUCUUUCUGGACAAGAGGGUAAAGAAGAGCAAGUGGACGAUGAACCCGUGGCUGUUGUUGGAGCUGCAGAGCCUGAAGAAAUUAAAUCAGGCACAAACGUGACACCAGAACCUCUGCUGGCUCCCUCUCUUUCCGGACAAGAGGGUAAAGAAGAGCAAGUGGACAAUGAACCCGUGGCUGUUGUUGGAGCCACAGAGCCUGAAGAAAUUAAAUCAGGCACAACAGCAGCACCAGAACCUCUGCUGGCUCCCUGUCUUUCUGGACAAGAGGGUAAAGAAGAGCAAGUGGACGAUGAACCCGUGGCUGUUGUUGGAGCUGCAGAGCCUGAAGAAAUUAAAUCAGUAAGUGCCAGACUACAUU